UCCCCAAGUCUCCUGAAGGUUUAAUGGU
rnacentral:piRNA from 1 species